rnacentral:lncRNA from 1 species
CAAUCCCUUUAAAAUUAAAAACUUUACUUAAUAUGUGUAACAUCCCUUGAAAAGCCUUUUCUUCUUUUUGUACUGACAUAGAAAUAUCUUGAUUUUCCAUUAAGAAAAAUGAAAGUAACUGAGUUCUUACCUUUUGUAUUCCUUCGCGUUAUUUUAGACAAUCCAAGUCGAUCGUGGUCAAACGGCAUCAAAUUUUGACUUAUGUGACGAAGUCAAUAAUGAUUAAAUAUA